GAUGAACGCCCUUUGCGUGCCUAAUACAUGCAAGUCGAGCGAACGGACGAGAAGCUUGCUUCUCUGAUGUUAGCGGCGGACGGGUGAGUAACACGUGGAUAACCUACCUAUAAGACUGGGAUAACUUCGGGAAACCGGAGCUAAUACCGGAUAAUAUUUUGAACCGCAUGGUUCAAAAGUGAAAGACGGUCUUGCUGUCACUUAUAGAUGGAUCCGCGCUGCAUUAGCUAGUUGGUAAGGUAACGGCUUACCAAGGCAACGAUGCAUAGCCGACCUGAGAGGGUGAUCGGCCACACUGGAACUGAGACACGGUCCAGACUCCUACGGGAGGCAGCAGUAGGGAAUCUUCCGCAAUGGGCGAAAGCCUGACUGAGCAUCGCCGCGUGAGUGAUGAAGGUCUUCGGAUCGCAAAACUCUGUUAUUAGGGAAGAACAUAUGUGUGAGUGACUGUGCACAUCUUGACGGUACCUAAUCAGAAAGUCACGGCUAACUACCUGCCAGUAGCCGUCGGUAAUACGUAGGUGGCAAGCGUUAUCCGGAAUUAUUGGGCGUAUAGCGCCUGUACGCGGUUUUUUAAGUCUGAUGUGAAAGCCCACGGCUCAACCGUGGAGGGUCAUUGGAAACUGGAAAACUUGAGUGCAGAAGAGGAAAGUGGAAUUCCAUGUGUAGCGGUGAAAUGCGCAGAGAUAUGGAGGAACACCAGUGGCGAAGGCGACUUUCUGGUCUGUAACUGACGCUGAUGUGCGAAAGCGUGGGGAUCAAACAGGAUUAGAUACCCUGGUAGUCCACGCCGUAAACGAUGAGUGCUAAGUGUUAGGGGGUUUCCGCCCCUUAGUGCUGCAGCUAACGCAUUAAGCACUCCGCCUGGGGAGUACGACCGCAAGGUUGAAACUCAAAGGAAUUGACGGGGACCCGCACAAGCGGUGGAGCAUGUGGUUUAAUUCGAAGCAACGCGAAGAACCUUACCAAAUCUUGACAUCCUUUGACAACUCUAGAGAUAGAGCCUUCCCCUUCGGGGGACAAAGUGACAGGUGGUGCAUGGUUGUCGUCAGCUCGUGUCGUGAGAUGUUGGGUUAAGUCCCGCAACGAGCGCAACCCUUAAGCUUAGUUGCCAUCAUUAAGUUGGGCACUCUAAGUUGACUGCCGGUGACAAACCGGAGGAAGGUGGGGAUGACGUCAAAUCAUCAUGCCCCUUAUGAUUUGGGCUACACACGUGCUACAAUGGACAAUACAAAGGGCAGCGAAACCGCGAGGUCAAGCAAAUCCCAUAAAGUUGUUCUCAGUUCGGAUUGUAAUCUGCAACUCGACUACUUGAAGCUUGGAAUCCCUAGUAAUCCUAUAUCACCAUGCUACGGUAAAAUUCCUUCCCGGGUUCU
rnacentral:rRNA from 1 species